GACAGAGGGUGCAAACGUUGUUCGGAAUUACUGGGCGUAAAGCGCGUGUAGGCGGCUAUGCAAGUCGGAUGUGAAAGCCCUCGGCUCAACCGGGGAAGUGCACCCGAAACUGCAAAGCUAGAGUCUCGGAGAGGAUCGUGGAAUUCUCGGUGUAGCGGUGAAAUGCGUAGAGAUCGGGAAGAACAUCGGUGGCGAAAGCGCUCUGCUGGACUGCAACUGACACUCAGGGACGAAAGCUAGGGGAGCGAAUGGG
rnacentral:rRNA from 1 species